rnacentral:rRNA from 1 species
CAGCCGCCGCGGGAAUACGUAGGGUGCAAGCGUUAUCCGGAAUUAUUGGGCGUAAAGAGCUCGUAGGCGGUUUGUCGCGUCUGUCGUGAAAGUCCGGGGCUCAACUCCGGAUCUGCGGUGGGUACGGGCAGACUAGAGUGAUGUAGGGGAGACUGGAAUUCCUGGUGUAGCGGUGGAAUGCGCAGAUAUCAGGAGGAACACCGAUGGCGAAGGCAGGUCUCUGGGCAUUAACUGACGCUGAGGAGCGAAAGCAUGGGGAGCGAACAGGAUUAGAGACCCCUGUAGUCCCUGUCUCUUAUAC